AUGUACCCCUCACACUCCGGUUCCUCCGCGCCGGCCGCACCCACCUGACAACAACUGCUCGCCACGUUUGUUAGCU
rnacentral:sRNA from 3 species